rnacentral:rRNA from 1 species
UACAGAGGUCCCAAGCGUUGUUCGGAUUCACUGGGCGUAAAGGGUGCGUAGGUGGCCAGGUAAGUUUGGUGUGAAAGCUCGGAGCUUAACUCCGAAAAGUCAUUGAAUACUAUCUGGCUGGAGGGUCGGAGGGGAGACUGGAAUUCUCGGUGUAGCAGUGAAAUGCGUAGAUAUCGAGAGGAACACCAGUGGCGAAGGCGGAUCUCUGGACAGUUCCUGACGCUGAGGCGCGAAGGCCAGGGGAGCAAACGGG